GAUGAACGCUGGCGGCGUGCCUAAUACAUGCAAGUCGAGCGAACAGACGAGGAGCUUGCUCCUCUGACGUUAGCGGCGGACGGGUGAGUAACACGUGGAUAACCUACCUAUAAGACUGGGAUAACUUCGGGAAACCGGAGCUAAUACCGGAUAAUAUAUUGAACCGCAUGGUUCGAUAGUGAAAGACGGUUUUGCUGUCACUUAUAGAUGGAUCCGCGCCGCAUUAGCUAGUUGGUAAGGUAACGGCUUACCAAGGCAACGAUGCGUAGCCGACCUGAGAGGGUGAUCGGCCACACUGGAACUGAGACACGGUCCAGACUACUACGGGAGGCAGCAGUAGGGAAUCUGCCGCAAUGGGCGAAAGCCUGACGGAGCAACGCCGCGUGAGUGAUGAAGGUCUUCGGAUCGUAAAACUCUGUUAUUAGGGAAGAACAAAUGUGUAAGUAACUAUGCACGUCUUGACGGUACCUAAUCAGAAAGCCACGGCUAACUACGUG
rnacentral:rRNA from 1 species